rnacentral:rRNA from 1 species
CCUACGGGAUGCAGCAGUAGGGAAUUUUCGGCAAUGGGGGGAACCCUGACCGAGCAACGCCGCGUGAACGAAGAAGUUAUUCGUAAUGUAACGUUCUUUUAACAGGGAAGAAAGUGACGGUACCUGUUGAAUAAGCCACGGCUAACUACGUGCCAGCAGCCGCGGUAAUCCGUAGGUGGCAAGCGUUAUCCGGAUUUACUGGGUGUAAAGGGCGCGUAGGCGGGAGAGCAAGUCAGACGUGAAAUUACAGGGCUCAACCCUGGAAAUGCGUUUGACACCGUUCGUCUUGAGUGAUGGAGAGGCAGGCGGAAUUCCGUGUGUAGCGGUGAAAUGCGUAGAUAUACGGAGGAACACCAGUGGCGAAGGCGGCCUGCUGGACAUUAACUGACGCUGAGGCGCGAAAGCGUGGGGAGCAAACAGGAUUAGAUACCCGGGUAGUC